rnacentral:lncRNA from 1 species
GUNCUUGACCUGUUGACGGAGAACAUUGCUUUGAAUCUCAAAUCACCAUCUCUUGAAAGAUUAAUUACGAAAAAACUAGAAUGGGGAAACAAGAAUGAUAUAGAUUAUGUCAAGCAACUCAGCGAGAAAGGUUUUGAGGUCAUUCUUGGCACUGAUGUAACUUACGUUGCUGAAGCAAUUAUUCCCUUGUUUGCAACAGCUAGAGAACUGAUUUCAUCCAGCAGAGUUGUAAAGGACAGAGAGCCAGCUCUGAUUCUAUGCCAUGUUUUCCGCAGAGUUGAUGAGCCAUCAAUACUUUCGGCAGCAUCUCAGUUUGGUUUUAGGCUGGUCGACAGAUGGCCUGAGCAAACCCCGACUGGCCCAUAUCAGGGCACGAUCAAGAGUUGGUUUUCAGAGGGCGAUCUUGAAGUUCCAACAGCAGCACUCAAUAUUAUGUAUUUUCAGUCGAGUACAAGUGAUUGAAUUUUUUCACUAGUCUUCAUGACUCCUCCCCAUUGUCACGUGCGAAAAAGGGGGAUGGAAAUGUUGUUUUUUCAGAACAUGGAGGUCCAUAGAACGCUUAGUCUUAGUUUUUGGGAUGAAUGAGUUUGAAAACUAGUUGUGACUUUUUAUUCAUUGAACGGGAAAAUUUGUCUAUGUGCUCAUCAACAUGCAU